UUGGUGCCUUCGGGAACUGUGAGACAGGUGCUGCAUGGCUGUCGUCAGCUCGUGUUGUGAAAUGUUGGGUUAAGUCCCGCAACGAGCGCAACCCUUAUCCUUUGUUGCCAGCGGUUCGGCCGGGAACUCAAAGGAGACUGCCAGUGAUAAACUGGAGGAAGGUGGGGAUGACGUCAAGUCAUCAUGGCCCUUACGACCAGGGCUACACACGUGCUACAAUGGCAUAUACAAAGAGAAGCGACCUCGCGAGAGCAAGCGGACCUCAUAAAGUAUGUCGUAGUCCGGAUUGGAGUCUGCAACUCGACUCCAUGAAGUCGGAAUCGCUAGUAAUCGUAGAUCAGAAUGCUACGGUGAAUACGUUCCCGGGCCUUGUACACACCGCCCGUCACACCAUGGGAGUGGGUUGCAAAAGAAGUAGGUAGCUUAACCUUCGGGAGGGCGCUUACCACUUUGUGAUUCAUGACUGGGGUGAAGUCGUAACAAGGUAACCGUAGGGGAACCUGCGGUUGGAU
rnacentral:rRNA from 1 species